rnacentral:misc_RNA from 1 species
GAUGAAGAACGCAGCGAAAUGCGAUACGUAAUGUGAAUUGCAGAAUUCAGUGAAUCAUCGAAUCUUUGAACGCAUAUUGCGCUCUUUGGUAUUCCGAAGAGCAUGCUUGUUUGAGUAUCAGUAAACACCUCAACCUCUUCUUGAUUUUUCAAAAGGAGGGUGGACUUGAGCUAUCCCAACAACCUUUACCGGUCGGCGGGCAGCUUGAAAUGCAGGUGCAGCUGGACUUUUAUCUGAGCUAAAAGCAUAUCUAUUUAGUCCUCGUCAAACAGGAUUAUUACUUUUGCUGCAGCUAACAUAAAGGAUAAUUGUCCUCUUUGCUGACUGAUGCAGGAUUUUACGACACUUUAUGUGUUGUUCAACUCGAUCUCAAAUCAAGUAAGACUACCCGCUGAACUUAAGCAUAUCAAUAAGCGGAGGA